rnacentral:lncRNA from 1 species
AAAAAAAGAUGCAUGGACGGGAAAUGUGUGGAUGAGAGAUGCGUGGACGGGAGACGCGUGGACAUGAGAUGCGUGGACAUAAGAUGCGUGGACGGGAGACGCGUGGAGCCACUUACACCACCACUGUAACUACCCUCACGUCUUACACCACAACCUCCAUAACCACCACCGCCUCCACUGCGGUAUCCAUCGCUUCCUCCACCAUAUCCACCACCAUCUCCUCCACUCGAGUAGCCACCUCCACCAACCACCACCAUUGUAUCCACACUCACGUUACAUACAGACAUAAUCAAGUGGUUUAAGAAGCGGGAGCUAACCUUCUAUUUGGAUUUUAUCUGUCCAGAUUUCCGAGGCUUGGAU